AAGAGGCACUCUAUAAAAUAUUACAUUCAGUUCAAACCCAUGAUUCAGCAAUAAUAGAGGCCCAUCAGUGUUUUCAAUAGAUCUGUUUUUCUUAGUUGUUCUCACCUAUUAAACACCUUGCCCUCUCUCUCAACUCUCUUCUUUGUAUUUUCCCCUCGCAGUUCAUGAAGCGGUUCACAGCUAUGGAUCGUCAUUGCCAUUUUACCUUCCUGUUCGCUCAUUUAUCUCUGAGAAAAACAAGAUCAUGGAUGGCUGCUUCUGCAUCUUCUGUAGGUUCUGUUUUCCAUAGGUGUUGACAUGACUAAGGAACUCUAGGAGAGACUGUCUGUUAACGAUCUGCAAGCCUUGUAAAACUGGAACAUGGGGUAAAAUAAAAGUGGGCCGAAUACCGAUCCCUGCGGAAUACCACUUGGAAAUCAGAUCCAAACACGCUUGACUGACGUCUUACCCAUAUUCCCACCAUCGGGCACCUGUCUGAUUCUGGCACUGUUUUCCCCUCCACAUUUCAUGGUUAAAUUGUACUGAUCCCUGUGAGAGCUGCGCAGUAAUGGCCCAUGAAGAGAAACUGUCUGAAGUAACCAGCCAACAACUGCGGCCAGUUCACCCUGUAGGCCAUUUAUACAGACUUCAUCAAAACAUCGUUUUCCAAUGAGACAAGAACAACUUGAGCUGUAUCUGAAAAGGGGGGACAUUCAAAGGUGGAGGAGAUGGCGAGCACUUGUGAGGAUAAAGGAAUCCUCCGGUGAAUGCUCUUUAGUUCGGACAGAUAAUGAGAGAACACUCUACAUACACACACAGGACCGUGUUGAGCCACUUUAAGUUUGUGAAUUCAAUGCGAAAGACACACUGAAUACAGAAAAGGGAACCCAACUGAGAGGUGAGAAGCCAUGCUCAGCUGCUCUGUGUCCCUUAUGACCUGAAAAGACCUUUUUUAUAAUGCACAAAGAAUGUACACAAUGAGCCCUGUUAGGAAACACUUGCUGCCACAAUUCAGUUUUUCUUCCAUAUCAGGAGGUUUAUGACCCUUCUUGCCAUGCUGCUUUAUUUUACACAUUAAAACUGUGGUCUAUCUGCAUCUGCUUUCCAAAAAUAACAUUUGUUUGGCUGCAUAAUUAGCUGGCCAAAUAUUUGUGCUGACUAAUUUGUCGAAGUAUUCUCCUGAUGCGUAAUCCAUUAGCUCCCAUCAGGUGCCUUUGUCUCCAAUCCAAAUGAGCCAUUUGCAUUUCCUUUGUUAUUUAAAUCGUGCAUUUCCUCCAAACUGUGAGAAUUAACUUCCUAAUGAACUUCACACAAAAGAGAAGGGACCUCAAUUACAAACUCUCUCCUCAGGCUAACGUAAUGAUGCGAACAAGAGAGACACUUGUCAUGAUUAGGGGAGUAUCGUGAGCUGGAGAAUAGGCCACGGGAAGAGAUCAGCCGGACUGAUGCUGAUGGAUUACUCACAAGCAAGGAUUCCAACAGCCUUUGAGUAACAAGGCAUGACAUUUAAGUCUGUCUAAGCAUGAAGAGAUAGUUUUGGAAAAAUGCAACAUGACGUGGUUUUUCAGGCAAGAGAUGAGUCAAAAAAAAAAGCUUGAUUUUGACAUCAACAACAAAAUGUUUAUGGGUAGUUGACAUAAAAAUUGCAUGAUCCUUUUUUCCAACAUCAAUUUAAUUAAAACUACAUUUAAAGGUUAAAAUGAUUUAAUAAGGGAA